rnacentral:rRNA from 1 species
AGCGAACGCUGGCGGCAGGCUUAACACAUGCAAGUCGAGCGGGCCUUUCGGGGUCAGCGGCGGACGGGUGAGUAACGCGUGGGAACGUGCCCUCUGGUUCGGAAUAACUCAGGGAAACUUGAGCUAAUACCGGAUACGCCCUUUUGGGGAAAGGCUUGCUGCCGGAGGAUCGGCCCGCGUCUGAUUCGGUAGUUGGGAAGGUAACGGCUCACCAAGGCGACGAUGAGUAGCUGGUCUGAGAGGGUGAUCAGCAACACUGGGACUGAGACACGGCCCAGACUCCGAGGGGAGGCAGCGGGAGGGAAGCUGCCGCAAGGGGCGAAAGCCGGACGGAGCAACGCGGGGUGAGUGAUGAAGGUAUUCGGAUCGUAAAAAUGUGUGAUGAGGGAAGAACAAAUGUGUAAGUAAAUAUGCACGUCUUGACGGUACCCAAUCAGAAAGCCAAGGCUAAAGACGGG